UUAUUUUUUGUUAUCAAUUUUGGUACACAAUUCUAUGAUGACACGUGGCAGAAUAUUAUGUGCAAAUCUCUCGAAAUGCUACGCACUCUUUUUGAAGAAAACCUACUUGUAUCGAAGCAGUAUCUGUAAAAUCCAAUUCGGCAAUUCGACGCCAUACAAUUCCUUCGUGAAACACGACAGCUCCUUCUCUCUCUCUCUCUCUCUCUCUCUCUCUAAGCUUCCUUCUUCCCUCGUUUUUGUUUUUGUUUGUAUUUUUAUGAUCACAAUUCAACUUAAAAUUCCUUGAUUAACACACGCCGUUGUCAAUUUUGGUACGUAUCGGAAGAAUUGAAUUCCUUCACUCGCACAGAAUCAUAUGCCGCCGCCACAUGUUGGCGCCACGUCGUUGUCGUGAUUCUCUUGAUCACCGAAGCGAUUUUGAUGUCUGAUAGAGAUCGGGCGGAGGGUGAUGAGGGCGGAGGAAUCAACGGCGGCGAUGAAGAGGAUAGAGAGUGGAAGUGCAAGAGGUGUGGGAGUAAGGGGAAAAGGCCGGCCUUCUUUCGGUUGAGGAAGAGCAGGAAACUGCUUCAGCAGAAGCGGAAGCAGAGUGGCGUUUAUGUGAAUUCACGGAGUUGGGGCAGAAGCGGUGGGUGGUGUUGCUUGUGCCUGCGGCAGCCCAAGACUCUCGAUUCUUCCGGUGAGUCGCCGUCCAGUGAUCCUAAUAGUUCCGAGUUUAGUUUUGAUGAGUUGAGAGCUCUUAUUGAGAAAAAUGAUUUUUAUUCCGAAGACUGCAAUCCGCAUUUCGAUGCCUGAUCUUAUUGGAAACCCCCAAUUGUCUAAAUUGCUUCUUUUAGCUUAGCUGUGUGCGAUAUUGUCUUGAUCAUUGCCGCCCUGUUUUUGCUAUCAAUUAUUUCUUCACUCUAUUUCUGAUCGAUUGUGUACAUUGUUGGUGUGAUGUCUUUGGCUUAAUUCUACUCUCUUUAUGGUUUGGUCAUGUUCAGUUACAUUGAGUUUAAAGAAGCAAAAGACACUGGGAAUGAUGCUGUUGAGUUCUUUAAUCAAAUUUCGAAGGGAUUGUUUCAAGGAUUAGCUCUAUCGUUAUUCUAUGAAUUCAUUGAAUUAUGCACGGUUAACGCAUUGUGGUGUUCACGUUCACCCCUGAGAAUUAGUUUAGAUAGAUAAAAGUUUCUAGGCUAAUCCAUUGUAUACUAAGAUGGGAUGGAACUCUGCGAUUUGCCAAGGCCUUUGAUAAUUUCUACUAUCGUUCAAGUUAAAAUACUGUUAAGUAUCUUAUUAAUUAUGUAAAGUAAAUGGCCCAUUUAUACAUUAUGUAUAGUGCAUAAGAAGCGUGCAAUCUUUUGUCUUUCAUUGCCUCUGUCUGGCCUUGGCAAUCCCCACUGAAACUGAAGAAUGGUAUGGCUAUGACAUAUUUUGUGGUCCUCUUAAAUCAUGUAUGAGCAUUUUCUCUGUUCCAUAUGACCAUAGUAAGCUUAUGGAAGACUACUUCCAAAGUUUUUUAUGAUUUGUAAGUCAGGUGCACACGAUUUGGACGUGAUAGAAGGCUACAACCAGGUAGCAUUAAAAUGAGAGACUCAAACUUGGUGUAUGUCAUAGUUAAGAAGGUGAAGUGGGGCUGUAACAAGAAGAAUAAUUAGUAACAGAAUUUUUGUUUUAUCUUUUAGCUAUUUUUCCUUA